rnacentral:tRNA from 1 species
GCGGGAGUAGCUCAGCGGUAGAGCAUCUCGUUGCCAACGAGAAGGUCGCCGGUUCGAAUCCGGUCUCCCGCU